GCUGCUUUAGUUUAUAUUUAGAAUAUACUACUUGUAAUAGUGAGGUUGAAGCAGUA
rnacentral:tRNA from 1 species